AACGUUGCAAUGAAGAGAAGAGUACACAAAAAAGAUUGUCGCAGAGAGCUUCCGAACCGGUGCAAGGAAGUACAUGACGUUUUGUGGAACAUGGCCUCCGAGCUGACAGCCGAAUAGUUAAGCUGCCCGGGCACACCCGUUACAGUGUUAGAGUAUUCAAGGCCGAUCGGCCCGCGUACUUGAAGAGGCGCAAAUCGCGAGAUCUGCGUGAAAUCGGGUGGUAACACGGUACUUCCGUCCCUUAU
rnacentral:ncRNA from 1 species